CGCGAAUUCGCCCUUCGGGGCGCAGCAGGCGCGAAAACUCUACAAUGCAGGCAACUGCGAUAGGGGAACAUCGAGUGGCACCCACCAUGGGUGUCUGUCCAACCGUCUAAAAAACGGUUGUUAGCAAGGGCCGGGUAAGACCGGUGCCAGCCGCCGCGGUAAUACCGGCGGCUCGAGUGGUGGCCGAUAUUAUUGAGUCUAAAGGGUCCGUAGCUGGCUUUGCAAGUCCCCUGGGAAAUCCAGCGGCUUAACCGUUGGGCUUCCAUGGGAUACUACAUUGCUUGGGACUGGGAGAGGUAGGAGGUACUCAGGGGGUAGGGGUGAAAUCCUGUAAUCCUCUGGGGACCACCGGUGGCGAAGGCGUCCUACCAGAACAGGUCCGACAGUGAGGGACGAAAGCUAGGGGCACGAACCGGAUUAGAUACCCGGGUAGUCCUAGCCGUAAACGAUGCUCGCUAGGUGUCACGGCAGUCGUGAAUUGUCGUGGUGCCGUAGGGAAGCCGUGAAGCGAGCCACUUGGGAAGUACGACCGCAAGGUUGAAACUUAAAGGAAUUGGCGGGGGAGCAC
rnacentral:rRNA from 1 species